GCCUGCACUCAACGUUGCGUUAAUUCAGUAGAGUGUAACCUCAAUCGGUUUUUGCAGCUUCUGGGUGUCGUGUCGAACGAUCGCAGAACGAUUUUUUGUUCUUUUCCAACUCGAUUUUUAACUCCCUAGACUAGUAGGAUGUUCCAACGGGUGAAGCAACAGUGCUGACGGCAGAGUUUCAGUGUCAAUUUUUCAUGCCAUGAUCACUGGGGCGGAAACCAUUAUGACGUUGCCUUGGACAUCAAACUAAACCAUCUCAUUCUGGCUUUUUUCUAACAUCGAAAUCUCAGAAGGCCAGGACUAAGAUGGACGCAGCCUCCACAUGCAACCUUGCAUUUGAGGAACACCCAUAGAACGGUCAACUUACCCCAUACUCUAACCUGAAUGCAGGGAUCAUAAAACUUUAUCUUUUACCUUAAUUGUUAGAUGGGUGUUGAUACCAAACUUUUUUGUCUCGUCUACCCAGGAGAAAGUCAUGGGUUCUGCUGCUGAGUGUCUUUUAUUCUGCUUACCUGACUCAUGCAGAAUUCUGGCUUGAUGUUUGGUCCACCUGUUAGCUGGCUCUGGUGCUUGGUAGUCUUCUCAAACCUCUGAAUCAAGGCCACCAUGAGAGGCCUUCUGAAGACCAUCAUUACGCUUCAGAUCCAGUUGUCUUAACUAUGAGCCUACCACAAUCCCUGUGCACCAGCUAUGGAAAGUGCAGACCAAACUUCUACCUCCACCUAUAGAACUGAACUGGAGUCUGUGAACUAAUGCUGUGUUCGAGACAACUGGAACAGCAAACAAAGUUGAGUAUCCGACCUCUCAACUUGUGACUGAUCGAUCAGCACCAACCUCAACGAGAUGCAUCAUUUGACAUUGCAGACAAGUUGGUGGCUAGCCUUUCACAGCCUUACAUGAACCGCAAACAAACUUUAAACUAUUUUUACAGCACAUAAUAUUUAUGAACAUGAAUGUUAAAUUAUCCAGUAACCAUUUUCUGCCAUAAUUGGCACAAGAGCACAAACUUCUCCUGGCGUCUCAUUAUGUGGUAAACACGCAAAUGUGAUAUGUGAUUGACUGGAAUGCAUUGAGGUCGGUGGUAGGAUAUUUAAUGACAUAACAUCAGAAAUCCGAAUUGUAACACUGCGCAAUAUUUCACAUAAUUGUCAUGACCUGAUUAUCCUCCCAUGUUUUUAACACAACCAUUGAUUGGUCACACGGAAGCAGAGACUUUGUCCUUUGUAUCUCUCAAAAAAAAGAAAAAAAAAAGAAUUCUAUAUUUAAUGUUAAAAAACACUUACAGUAGACUGUGUUAGAUAACUGUGCUUUUGGAAGUCAUUUCUGAUAACCGCACACCUAACUUGUCUAAUGUCUUAAAAAUAGGCACCAGAGCAAUGUUUGUGGUAACCGUGGUAUAAGAGGAAUAAUUGACUCCGGUCCUUUGAAUUAUUUGAAAAUAAAGCACACCCGCGGUGUAACGGCACUCUGCUUCGCGUCGUGCCGCAUUGCACCUUGGGUGUGCAUUAUUUUCUUAUAAUUCAAUGGCCCGUCGUCAAUUAUUCCUUACAUAUUGAAGGUUGACAGGUUUGUUUGCAUGUAAUUGCAGUAUUAUUAAUUUGGGGUUGAUAGUCCAAUGUUGAUUUGAGAGAAAUUUUUUUUUUCUUUUUAGAUCCUUUCUCUUUUUAAUGCAGCACUUAAGGAUGAACCACCCUGAUCUACUAAGAUGCACAGAUUCAACUCUGGCCCAGCAUCAUCCCCACACCUCAUCUGCCAUCAGUUUAAUUUAAUGUCUGUCAAUUGCAAAUGCUAUUUAUUUCAGUUAUAUUACAACUUAAUGUUAACUUUAAUUGAGACUAGUAUUGUGUAAAGCUGGGGUUUCCAAACUUUUCAUUUCAAAACCUAUUAGACAAGUGUAAUCUAUUUUAGACCCACUAAAAUAUUUUUACAUAUACAUUUUUUUAAUGGGCUAAAACACAUUUGUUCUCUUUCAGUGGAGUCAUUUUAUUUUCAUAAUAUUUCAUAAUGUAAAGCAGUGGUUCUUAACGUUAUUCCUCGAGGCCCACUGCUCUGCACAUUUUGUAUGUCUCUUUUAUCUGACAGACUCAGUUCAGUUCAUUGAGAUCUCUUCUAAUGAGCUGAUGAUUUGAAUCAGGUGUGUUAAAUAAGGGA